UGCAGGGGGCGGGGCUGUCGCGGCAGGGUAGAUCGGCGGGCGCUAGGACAGCGCGGAGCUCCGGCGGCGGGCGGGGCGUGGCGGCGCGCGUACAGGCAGGCGGCGGCGGGAUGGAGUCCGAGCCCCAGCCCGCGGCCGUGGAGGUUCCCGCUGGGCGCGUGCUCAGCGCCCAGGAGCUCUUCGCCGCCCGCUCGCGGUCGCAGAAGCUGCCCCAGCGCUCUCAUGGCCCCAAGGACUUUCUGCCCGACGGCUCGGCGACUCAGGCCGAGCGGCUGCGCCGGUGCCGGGAAGAGCUCUGGCAGCUGCUGGCCGAGCAGCGCGUGGAGCGCCUGGGCAGCUUGGUGGCUGCCGAGUGGAGGCCGGAAGAGGGCUUCGUGGAGCUGAAGUCUCCUGCGGGCAAGUUCUGGCAGACCAUGGGCUUUUCAGAGCAGGGCCGGCAGCGGCUUCACCCGGAAGAGGCCUUGUAUCUGCUGGAGUGUGGCUCCAUCCACCUUUUCCACCAAGAUCUGCCACUGUCUAUCCAGGAAGCUUACCAGCUGCUGCUGACGGACGACACUGUGACCUUCCUGCAGUACCAGGUCUUCAGCCACCUGAAGAGGUUGGGUUAUGUGGUUCGACGAUUCCAACCAAGCUCUGUCCUAUCCCCAUAUGAGAGGCAGCUUAACCUGGAUGCCAGCGUGCAGCACUUGGAGGAUGGAGAUGGCAAGAGAAAGAGGAGCAGCUCCAGCCCUUGGUCCAUUAAUAAGAAGGCCAAGGCCCUGGACAACUCCCUGCAACCCAAGAGUCUGGCAGCCUCCAGCCCACCUCCCUGCAGCCAGCCCAGCCAAUGCCCAGAGGAGAAACCCCAGGAGUCAAGCCCCAUAAAGGGCCCAGGAGGCCCCUUUAAGCUUCUGGGGUCCCUGGGGCCCAGCCCUGGCCCGGCCAGGGAGGGGGUGGGGUGCAGCUGGGAGAGUGGCAGAGCCGAGAACGGAGUCACGGGGGCCGGUAAGCGGCGCUGGAACUUCGAGCAGAUCUCAUUCCCCAACAUGGCUUCAGACAGCCGCCACACCCUCCUGCGCGCCCCAGCCCCAGAACUGCUCCCGGCCAACGUGGCUGGGCGGGAGACAGAUGCUGAGUCCUGGUGCCAGAAGCUGAACCAGCGCAAGGAGAAGCUCUCGAGGCGGGAACGGGAGCACCACGUGGAGGCCGCGCGGUUCCGGGAAGAUGUCAAUGCUGAUCCCGAGGUGCAGAGCUGUUCCAGCUGGCGGGAGUACAAGGAGCUGUUGCAGCGGCGGCACCUGCAGAGGAGCCAGAGCCAGGCCCCUCACCUGUGGGGCCAAUCCGUCACCCCCCUGCUGAGUCCCAGCCAGGCCAGCUCCCCAGGUACCCCCUCAGCCUGCCACAUCCUCGAGGGCCACUGGCAGCUGAGGAAUCACAGGACUUUGGAAAGGGCAUGGAUGAACCGGGAUGGAUUGAGGCUUAAAAAGAUGUGGGAGGAGGGAGUCGACCCACAAGGACGGUCAGUUCUCCCGCGGCUGCAGCAAGGCCUGUGUGGGAAUGCUUAGAGAUGCCGUGGUCCUUCAGCAUAUUUCUGUGCUGCAGACAACACAUCUUGCUGAUGGAGGUGCUCAGCUGCUGGAGAAGUCUGGGGGCUUGGAAAUCAGCUUUGAUGUUUACCAGGCUGACGCUGUGGCCACAUUCCGAAAGAAUAACCCUGGCAAACCCUAUGCCCGGAUGUGCAUUAGUGGAUUUGAUGAGCCUGUCCCAGACCUCUGCAGCCUCAAGCGGUUGUCUUACCAGAGUGGGGAUGUCCCUCUGAUCUUUGCUCUGGUGGAUCAUGGUGACAUCUCCUUCUACAGCUUCAGGGACUUCACGUUGCCCCAGGAUGUGGAGCACUGACCUCACGGCUCUGCAGGGGAUAGAGCUCGCUCCAGGGGACCGGGACUGUCUGUUCUCAGGGACCAUCUCGGCUGCCUCCUGUACCGACUCUAACCUGUAGCUUCCGGGGCCAGUAUGGGCCUUGGCCCUGGGUGUCUGAUACUCACAGAGUAAAACUGUGACCCUCUCCCCUUCCCUGCUGCCUUGCAGUGACCCCUCUGGAACUCAGGACUCGAUUUUAAGGACCCGGGUGGUGGGGCAGAAGAGAGGACUCUGUGCCUUUAACGAGAGGGUGCCUGCUUCGUGCCAUAAAGCCAAAGCCAUUAAAAAUAGAUUUCUUUUC